GACGAACCGGUGCGAACGUUGUUCGGAAUCACUGGGCUUAAAGGGCGCGUAGCGGUUUGCCAAGUCGAGGGGUGAAAUCCGUGCAGCUCGAACCUGUAGAAGUGCCUUUGAUACUGGCGAACUCGAGGGAGGUAGGGGUGGCGUGGGAACUUCUGGUGGAGCGGUGAAAUGCGUUGAUAUUGGAAGGAAGCCGGUGCGAAGCGAGCUGCCGGACCUCGUCUGAC
rnacentral:rRNA from 1 species